UGCCCUGCCCAGCUUUAAGGGCUUCUGUCUGCACAGACGCUCAGUGCUGGGAGGAGGACACCCUGCCACGCUGCUGGAGGUGGGGCCCGAAACGUGGAUUUAAUUUGCAGUAAGGCAGGCUGGUGCGGGGAGCAGAAACCUGCCACACGCAUAUGUUCCAAAAGAUCACCUCCAAGAGGAAGUGAGUUUGGGACACAGUCACUUCAGCAAUAGAGCUAAAUUAUAAUUUUGGGGAAAUACCUUCCACAAGCCUCCAGUGGAAGUGGAGCAAGGUGUGCCCCGCUCUCGGCCGUUGGGUGCCCAACUGCAGAUGCUUCCCAUGCUCCCUAACCUGCCCGGCAGGGGCUGUGAGCUCGUUCUCUUUUGUACACCGGGCUCCCACACACCGUGCCUAACGGUGACAGUGAUGGAUAAGGCUCAGAAGGGCCGAGAAUGCCAGCGGCUGACUCUCUCAAAUAGAAAACAUGAAUUGCUUCCAUUACUCUCGUUCUCGCUGAGAGCUCUUUAGAAAACCGUCAGCCGUUCAAAGAACCAGUCUUCAGGCCAGACCCAGUGGGCCCCCAGGAGAGGUGCCCCUUUGUCUGCCUCAGGAGGCUUGUCUGGGUGAAGCACGUGGGACCCGGGCUAGAAAUUGCUUUCACUUUCAUGAUCCUAUUCUGAAGAUUUAUAGAUUUUUAUUUGCAGGCUUAGAGAUGUUCUAGUUUCAAAUUCUACUUUUUGCUCAGUGAAUGAUCCCCCCCUCCCCCCACCCAUUAUGCUUUCCCUACAUUCACAGGGAAGAAGACAUCUUCCCUCCCUUUCUGGCACUAAUGGCAUUCGCAGUCAAAGGUGGUGCUGUGGUUGCAGAUACAGGGUAACCACUGGCUCCCUUUACCCAGAGCCCAAGAAUCCUGAAGUCAUUAUUACGUAAGUUCUGCUCUUAGAUGCCCUUGGACGCUGCUCUGCUGCACAUACACAGCCAUUUUCUCCUGCAUAAAACCUGAAUCCCUGUGCAAGCUCCUUCAGCAUCUCAAAGAUGUUCUGAGGAUGAUAUCAACCAAUGGGAAUGAAAUAUUUUCAGCAAAGUUAAAAGCAUUUACCCAUGAGAGGUAACAUUUAUUAUUUGUUCUCCUUUGCUGGUUCUUAGUGAAAACAGAGAACAGCAGGUCACCUGUGGGUGCAAACCCUUCAUCUACAUGAAGAGUGUUAUUAAGUUGUCCCUCAGAUGUCCCUUCUUUUCAGGCAGACCAGUUCUGCUGUCUCUCCCCUCUGCUCAAAGGCCUUGUUGUUUCCUCUUUUGUCAUCUGUUUCUCUUCUCUGAGCCCUUUGCACAUUGUUUAGCAACAGCCUUUCCUCAAAAUGCUGCCCAAUCCUCUAGAGUUCUGGAACGUAGAAAUGUGCAGAGAGCCUGUGUUACCAUGGGGGUGGUGGUGCUGGGACAUGGCCUCAUGGUCCUAGCCCACCUCCCUCUACAAACAAAGCACCCCCCUGAUGCUUUGGCGCGAGGCUGUGGUCCCUGGGAAAGCUCGGAUGCUUCUGGCUUAUUCUCUCACUUACCUAGUCAUUCGUGUGUUAUUUUCCAUUUCCCUUGUAUGCCAUCUUUUCUUCAUUUCCCUUGGUGUUCCUGGUGAUCUUUUCUAAUCUUCCAACAUCUUUGAUUUCUUUAAUAGAAAAAUUAAUUUAACAUAUUUAUAUAUGCAUAGAAAUUUUGAAUAUAUGAGCAUAAAAAGAUUGGAAGGAGAAACACUAGAAUCUUAAAAGUAGUUUUCUCUGGGAAAUGAGAUUACAAGAGAUUUCAUUUAUUCUCUUCUUGCUUCUCUGAAUACAUAAAUUUUUCUAUGAUUGACACAUCAAUUCCUUAAUCUUUAAGAAAAAGCAAAUUGGAAAUUGGAAAAUUGACUCCCUGCACAGUCACGGACAACCAAAAUCGGAAAUGCUUUUGUCAGGUAAGGUCUCACUACCCUACCUAAGUUUAUAUUCCAGAAGGAUACAAACUGUGCUUGGUUGUAGGAUGACCAGUUGACCUGGUUUGUCUAAGUCUGUCUCAGUUUUAGUGCUGAAAGUUGGCAAACCAGGACCAUUUGCCUCUCCCUACCCCUCAGAUCUCUGUGUCUUCUUUCCUGUUGGACCACCCCGGCUACCUUCUGGUCUCUGUAUGGUACUUCUCAUAUGUAUCUUGCUAUGCCAUGACUGGGGAGGGUCAGCUCAGUUGGACCUUGAGGACAGGAAGAAGCUUCCGAAGCAUCCUUUGAGUCUGUUGAUUCAAGUGAGGCUUAGCAGUAGAGGACAAAUGUGAAGAGGCCAUUGAACAGAACUCCCUACCCAGAAGAGGCAAUGAGAGCAAAGCCUUCCAGAUGCCAGGAAAAGAUGGAGUCUCAGGGAAAGAGUCAAUGCUGCUAAGGGAGCUGUUGAGAGUGCUCCUUUCCUGGUUCUUAAAAAUUUGUGGUAAUGUCUCUCUCUGGGGAAGGAGGGAGGGAGGGCGGACAGAGAGGAAUUAACAGUCCAGGCCCUCUUCUCCUUGAUGUAAAUUAUUUAGGGACUUCUGUUAGCUUUAUUUUACUUUAAAUAUGUUCUCCCUUUUACUUUAAAUAUGUUCUAUUUACCUAUCUAGAGAUCUAAGUUUACAAAGGUUUUAGUCAAAAUCAGUGGUACUCAAUUCUGGCUGCACAAGAAAAUCACCUGAGAAGUUCCUGAAAUGCUAAGGGCUCACCCUAGACCACUAAAUUUAGAAUCUCUAACAAGGGAACCAAAGG